rnacentral:lncRNA from 1 species
GGAAUCAAUUGCCAGAGCCAUCGGAAACGCCAGCAAAGUCGUCGUCACGAUCGGCCCAUCUGAAAACGGCCCCAACGCCCAAGUAACCACAUCCGACGCCUUCCAAAUUAUCCAGGCGGCGGAAUUGGCCAACGUCGGCCACGUGGCUAUAAUCUACGACGGCUCUUCUGCAACCGCCUCCACCAACAACGUUCUCGAUGGCAUCUCUUCCUUCUUCAAUAACCUCUUUGCCAAAUCUCAGCCGCUCACGAUUACGGAGUUUCUGCAAAAACUGGCCACCACCAAUGUCA